rnacentral:lncRNA from 1 species
AUGAAUUUUCCCGCCCUUAUCGUUGAGAAACUCCAAUAAACAUCUGAGUAAAUGCCAGGACUUUCUGACAACCAGCGACAUGCAGUUUUGGACAUGAUCCAAUGAAGCCUUUUAACAGCAUACAAUUACUAGAAGACUGAAGUUGUAGCCUCUACAAUAACCCAAAUCAUCCACAAAUUCAACCAAAUUGGAUCAUUUAAUGAUAAGCCACAUCCC